rnacentral:rRNA from 1 species
GGCAACGGCCAUACCACGCUGAAAGUACCGGUUCUCGUCCGAUCACCGAAGUGAAGCGGCGUCGGGCCCGGAUAGUACUUCGGACGGAGACGACUUGGGAACACCGGGUGCUGUUGCCA